GGGCUUGACAUCCCACGAAUCUCGCCGAAAGGCGGGAGUGCCCGCAAGGGAGCGCGGAGACAGGUGGUGCAUGGCUGUCGUCAGCUCGUGUCGUGAGAUGUUGGGUUAAGUCCCGCAACGAGCGCAACCCUCACCUCUUGUUGCCACCAGGUCAUGCUGGGCACUCUAGAGGAACUGCCCCGGUCAACGGGGAGGAAGGCGGGGAUGACGUCAAGUCAUCAUGCCCCUUACGUCCUGGGCUACACACGUGCUACAAUGGCCGGUACAAAGGGAUGCCACACCGCGAGGUAGAGCUAAACCCAAAAAGCCGGUCUAAGUUCAGAUUGAAGUCUGCAACUCGACUCCAUGAAGGAGGAAUCGCUAGUAAUCGCGUAUCAGCACGACGCGGUGAAUACGUUCCCGGGCCUUGUACACACCGCCCGUCACACCACGAAAGCCCGUUGUACUCGAAGUCGCUGAG
rnacentral:rRNA from 1 species